rnacentral:rRNA from 1 species
AGUCAAGAGUACGUGAAACCGUUUAGGGGUAAACCUGAGAAACCCGAAAGGUCGAAGGGAGAAAUUCAUUCGCGUCUCGACGCAGGCGUCGGACGGGGUCGAGCGACGGGGACUCGCGCUAGUUCUUCGGAAUCGCGAGUUUCGCGCCCUCCGUCCUUCGAACCGGCUGCGAACGCGUGCACUUUUCUCCUGGUAGGACGUCGCGAUCCGUCGGGUGUCGGUCUACGACUUGCGGUGGAGACCGUCCGUCGUUCUUAAUCGAACGUACGGCGCGGACCCGCUCGUUCCGGCCGACUCGCUCGACGGUAGACGGUAAGGUCGAGGGUCGCUCGCGAAAAAUUUUUGUUUUUUCUACGAGAAGCGUUCGACUCGUCGCAAGCGCGCCACGUGCGUCGGCACGCGGACCCGGUGCCGCGUCCGAUCUCUGGUGACUGUUGGCGACGACGUUCUCGGACAGACCUCGUGCGGGGCGGCGCGGCGGCGGAAUUUUCGGAUUUCGUCGUCGUCGUCCGGUCCCCGUACACUAAGACCGAUCGGCGACGCUAUAGCUUUGGGUACUUUCAGGACCCGUCUUGAAACACGUUACCAAA